rnacentral:rRNA from 1 species
CUACGGGGCGCAGCAGUCGAGAAUCUUCCGCAAUGGGCGAAAGCCUGACGGAGCGACGCCGCGUGCGGGAUGAAGGCCUUCGGGUUGUAAACCGCUGUCAGUGGGGAGCAAAUCCGGGAAACCGGUUGAGCUAUCCGCAGAGGAAGCGCAGGCUAAGUUCGUGCCAGCAGCCGCGGUAACACGAACUGCGCGAACGUUAUUCGGAAUCAUUGGGCUUAAAGAGUUCGUAGGCGGCCUAGUAAGUCGGGUGUGAAAUCCCUCGGCUCAACCGAGGAACUGCGCCCGAUACUGUUAGGCUUGAGGGAGACAGAGGUGAGCGGAACUGAUGGUGGAGCGGUGAAAUGCGUUGAUAUCAUCAGGAACACCGGUGGCGAAAGCGGCUCACUGGGUCUCUUCUGACGCUGAGGAACGAAAGCUAGGGGAGCGAACGGGAUUAGAUACCCCCGUAGUC